GCGGCGGCGUGUUCCAAGGACCUGCGUGGAGGGAGUCACAGGACCACGCCUGGAGCUGUCCGCAGUGCUGAAAGCGGAGGCAGCCCUCCCUCCUGCGAGAAGACGCCUAACUAGCUGUGACAGAACCAUUCAGAAUUCUCUUAGUCUGAUUGCCCUGCCUAUACUUCCUGCCU